GUCACCAGCUAGGAAGCAGGGCGUGUGCUGCAGCAGAGAAUGGAGCCAUUGUCAGAGACCCCUUUAGGGUUGGAAUAUGGCCGUCCCCAUGUUACAAAAGACGUCCAUCCCUUCUCUAAGUCUGUCUUUAAGUGGAAUUUGAGCUGUCAUAACAGGACGUCAUACAGCCCCUGAGAAUGGAUACCGCGGCAUACCAGCAGAUGUUUGUGAGGAUUUCAGGUGACGUCCGGGGCCUUCCUCAGGCACCUGAGGAAACGAAGGUGAUGACGGACCUUGAGAGCAGCUACAGCGUUCUGUGUUCACUUAAGGUUACUUCAUCGUUUUUGGUGAUUAGGCCUAUGACGAUGAUGUCGUCAACCGGUUUGAUAAUGGAGUUGGAGUGGAGUCUGACUAUGCAGAUUUGCAUGCACAGGGAUUGAGUUGCGGGUGCUAAGGACCAGGGUGCAAGAAAAUGAGCGAGAGAAGUGAUUUGCGCUUCCUGUUGCUAAGGUCCUCAUUUCAUCUCCCUACAUUUUAUCCUUUAAGUCGAUAAAGAAAAUAAGGAAGCUCGAAAUGUGUUAUUUUCUUAAUGAUUUGUGCAAAACAGAAGUUAUGCGCCUAGGUAACCAACAUAUAAUUGGCCAUAAUAUGCAACAACGCGGGAAUCUGAGAGUCAAUCGGCUUUCUGUUCAAAACAGUACUUCCUGGAGAUGGAUGUUUUCCACAAAACAUUUGAUCUGUUUUGAAUUACUGGCACCAGCCUCACCUAAGCACUGGGACAGCACAUAAACUCCACUGACUCAGUUUUAACUGUCUGGGAUGGAAACCAGGAAAUUGACUGCAAUGGCAACCACACCAAGCAAUGCUCAGAUAAUGAAGCUUAAUGUUUAAAUGGAAAACAUAGACCUAAAGAUAGAACUUGCACCAUAAUAAAUAACAUAGUACUUUUUAGUUUUAAAAGUUUGGAAUAAACACACUGGAUAUAUGCAGCUGUGGAAAAAAUUAAGGAACCACAGCACGAUUUAAAAUUUCACUCAUUUCUCAAUUUAUGGUUGUGCGUCUGUGAAUAACGUAUUUGUUUUUGCAAACUGCAGCCUGAUUCUUCUCUGUUUCUCAUUAAUGAAGGGCUUCUUCCUUGCUUUAUGGGACUUCAGUCCUGCUUCUAGGAGCCUGAUGUAAACUACCCCAGCAGUGCACCUCACACCUGCACUUAAUGUUUCCCGCUCCAUUUGAAGGUCACUUGAUGUCAUCCUCUGAUCCACGAGAAACUGUCAGAUAAGUUAACAGUCAUCUCUGGCAUUAGAAGGUCACUUCCACCCUCUACCUGGCUGGUUUCUGGUUGUUCUCAGUGUCUCUUGCUUCACCUUAUUCUUGUGUACUUUUAGAAAUUUUGAACCUGGAAGCGACCUGCUGCUCAGUCUAGCCUUAAAAUUAAAAAAUGCAGAUUUGUUAAAAAACAAAGAGAGGUCUCUUAAUCCACGGCUGCAUGUGAAAACAACACCAAACAAUAACUUUUCUCUAAUAAUGCAUGUCAGUAAAGUCUGGUACUGUAAAAUACUUAUUGCUCGAGUAUGACCUGAGUAAAUCAUAGAAUAUAAAUGCAGACAGUUUGAAUUACUCUUGAAUAUUCACUCAGUUGUUCUAGGAAAACAAAUUAAAUAUAUAAGUUGAAUCUGUGCUGUUGUAACUAUGGGUUCUGAAAUGACCAGAGACAUAGUGAGAUGACUGGCUAUGUUGGACAUAAACUGUAAUUCCUAUGAAGCCAAGCGAUACAGUAUAAGAAAUGCUGCUCAGACCAAAAGUGUAAUUAGGGCUGAUGAUGGCCUCAGUUCUUGUUCAUCUAGUUCUAUUACCCCAGGGGUGGGCAACCCUGAUCCUUUAAUGCUGGUACCCAGCAGGUUUUCCAUCCUACCUGGUCUCCGAUUAACCACAGCUGAUCUCAGGCAGAUAGGAACUCAUCAGGUAGGAUGGAAAAGCUGGUGGAGACCGGCACGCCAGGAUCAGGAUUCCCUACAUUCACUUAUCCCUUCAGUGUUUUGGCCACUCAUCUGUGAAAUGUGCCAUUAUACCUUUAUUAUUAGUUUUGGUCCAGGAAUCUUCUGCAAAAUGGAUGAAACUUGUCAAUGAAAAAAAUUCUAAAUUGUGGUUUACAGGGAAAAUAAUAAGUUUCGACAUUUCCUGUUCAUCUUGCAGGAGACAUCUUCAGGAAAAUCAACAGGCAAUUGUUUCACAUUGUUAUGUAAUUAGCCAGUAAUUGUAUGUUUGGACGAGUAACUUUGCUGAACACUGUGUACCACCAUGGACACUUUGAGGUAAUCUGCUGAAGAGCAGCUCGCCAACCUUACAAGCUGCAGAGUAUCCAAUAAUUCACAGCCAGGCUAUUUUUGCUUCUGUACAUCUUGAUGUUAUUUAUUUCAACAGGUUUUCUAAACUUUCUCUUGUAAAGGCGUUUUAUACAGGUUUUGUUCCAAUAUGAUCUCGCACUUUCCACCGGUCACUUAUUAGAAGCUUAAGUUGGCUUGGAGAUACUUGUACCUGCCUCAUUUGUACCUCACUUUCGACAAUAAUCACCUGCUAAAUACAUGAAUGUAAUAAUAAGUAGAUCACUACUCCGAAGUAGCUGUCAGCAACAUGGCAUGCAGAUGACAGCACUCCAGUCAGCAUACUACACGCUAUAUUUAACAGACGCUAAUCAUGACAUCAUUUGGCUUACACAGUGGCCUGAAGCAAGGAAAGCAGGCCGUGAUAACUCACACCAGCGGUGCCAUUGUUACCAGAGCUCUUUUGAAAUCAGAGAGGUCUGCUUAGAGUUGCGUUUCGUUUUUCCCUUAGCUCACAGAUGUCUUGAAGCAGCAGCAGGAGCCGAGAAAACAGUCUCGUGCCCAGAAACACUGCCACGGUCUUCGUCCCGUGACCCAUUGACACAUAAUCCUUUCACACUCUCUGCACAAUUUCCACCUGGCUUGGGAACAGCAUUAAACACACAUGAAGUGCUCGAAAACACUUUAAGGCUCCCACAGGAAUGCAGAUAGCAGUAUCAGCUUACGGAGAACGGAACGCGAGGUGGGGCAGCAGUAAGCACCCAGAAACAGACAGACCAGAGCCCAGGUUUUCUACAACAAAAGAGAAAAUGGGCCACAAUUAAAUAUCAGUGGAAAUUUUACACCAUUUCAACUGGGGGGCCAAACUGGGGCCAGUUGUUCUGUUAUGGGGGCCAGAUGCAUUUGACCGUAAUGGCCUCCAAGUAUUAUUUACAUUAGAUUGCCAGGAUUAAGAAGCAAAGGUCGGUUUUGAAAACUGAUAAUCAUUUAUCCAAUGCUUUGCAGUUACAUUAUAUAGUUUUUACAAAUAUGUAACUCACUCUGAUUUCUUGUUCAAAGUGUCUUGCAUCUACAGGCUUGAUUAUUUUUUUCUGCUGUUAACUUUGCUUUUCACAAACUGAAGCGAUUUGACCAUCCGACACACCCACGUUAACAGUCCGUCAAGAAAAUGUGCUUAGGUUUGUCUUUCACCUGCUCCCUGUGCACAUUUUAGCCCACAUAUAUUAAUGGAAAUAAUAAUAAUAAUAGUAAUAAUAAUACAUGGGGGCGGCAUGGUGGUGCAGUGGUUAGCACUGUUGCCUCACACCUCUGGGACCCGGGUUCGAGUCUCCGCCUGGGUCACAUGCGUGUGGAGUUUGCAUGUUCUCCCCAUGUCGUCGUGGGGUUUCCUCCGGGUACUCCGGUUUCCCCCCACAGUCCAAAAACAUGCUGAGGCUAAUUGGAGUUGCUAAAUUGCCCAUAGGUGUGCAUGUGUGAGUGAAUGGUGUAUGAGUGUGCCCUGCGAUGGGCUGGCCCCCCAUCCUGGGUUGUUCCCUGCCUCGUGCCCAUUGCUUCCGGGAUAGGCUCCGGACCCCCCGUGACCCAGUAGGAUAAGCGGCUUGGAAAAUGGAUGGAUAAUAAUACAUUUAUUUAAGGACCAAGUAGCAUACGUAUUUAGGGAGUCCCAGGGGGCAUGAACAUUGUCACAAUGUCCCAGUUAAAUAUACCUGAUAUACCUCUUAUAUCUCUGUUAAAUA